rnacentral:rRNA from 1 species
CCCUUAGAUGUUCGGGGCCGCACGCGCGCUACACUGAAUGAAUCAGCGAGUGUAUGUCCUAGGCCGAAAGGUCCGGGUAACCCGUUGAACCUCAUUCGUGAUUGGGAUAGGGACUUGCAAUUGUUUCCCUUGAACGAGGAAUUCCCAGUAAGCGCAAGUCAUCAGCUUGCGUUGAUUACGUCCCUGCCCUUUGUACACACCGCCCGUCGCUACUACCGAUUGAAUGUUUCGGUGAAGAUUCCGGACCGUGGCGAGCGCGCUUCACGGCGCUCUUGCCGUGGGAAGUUAUCUAAACCUCAACAUUUAGAGGAAGGUGAAGUCGUAACA